GUGCCCUGAGAGCUCUGCCGGGGCAGCCGCCUCUCGCAGCCUGAUCUACAGCCUCGUUGUUCUCCGGGCUGCCCUGGAUUAGAGCGGUGCGACUGAAGGUGGACCCGGGGAAACCCUUCGUUCCCCCCGCCGGCGGGGAUUCCAGAUACAAUUCCGAAUGUCGGCGUCUCCCGGGCGAGCGGCGCGGCUCUGCCCGCCCAAAGCCGCCCCGGCAGCAGAGACUGAAGGACGGGGUUGGCACCACGGGAGGCUUCAAUUUACCAGGGAUGGGAUUUACUGCGCCCAAAUCUGCAUCCCAGCCCCUACGCCAGGCUACGGCAGAAGCGAGGGAAAUAAGGAAAUAUUCGAAAUAGAGUCGUCAUUUGCAUUUAUUUUGACGCUGAGGUGUGGUAAGCCUUAGCGGGGUUCCUUGCCUGGAAUGAGCAGGUCCGCGCUGGCUGCUUAGGAAGCUCAGCAGGACCGGUUCACACACGGAUGCUGUCGAAGGGGAUAAACAGAUUCUGUCUUUGGGAAUGGCUGCAGAUCUUGCGAGCACACACACAUACUCCAAAGGAGCCACAAGAGUCACCAAGGAACAUUUGAAACCUACUGGUCCCAAGGGGAAGCUCAGGCUUCAAAAGUUCAGCAAGCCCUUCAAGGAGGGAAGGUUGAUUAGACCUAGCAGAGCACAGUAAUGCGCAUGAAACGUAGGGAAAUAUGAAAGAUAAUGACAAUAAAACUAUGAUGGGGGAGAGAGCCAAUAUUUAUGGGAAAACAGAAAGCUGUCUUGUAAUUUCUCAAGUCCAGCGAAGCUUCAAGCAAGGAAACAAACUGCUGGUGACAGCUUUUUUCUUUUCCCAAGCUACCUCUUUCUAAGGACACUUUUAGGGAUAUAUGAGGAAGUUGACAAUAGCCAGUUCUUCUUUACUGUAAAGGUCCCUUGAAAAGAAAACCCUAAAAUAUUUCAUUCAUAGGUGUAUUUUUAAGAUGCUUCUAGGGUUUCAGUAAAGUUCUAACUGACCAAUUACACAAGAUACCAAAGCAGUUCAUAUUAAUUGAUAAUAUUUUCAGCCUACUAAUCAAAACACAUUGGAAGCUUUUAAUUAUUUCUGAGAGUUAGCUUUAGGAGCUCUAAAUUAUUUAUCUUUCUUAUCGUGUACCUUGAUAGUGAUAAGAGUUUUUAACAUCUUUUCUUAAUCAAAGGCAGAUAAGAUGACAUAUCUGAUUGGAAAUAACUGCCAGGAUUUUGUUUCUUUUUAUUUUCAUUUGCUCCCCAUAAUUAUCUAGGAAGCACCAGCCAGGAGGAAAUACAACUCCGAGGUUGUUUGGAAGUGACACUGAGACGUGAAAGGUGUGCAUUGAAUUUCACUGCUACAGAACACGAUAUGUUUAUAAGAAGUCAGUUCAGCCUAUUUCAUCCUACAGUGUGCUGUGAACCUCAGAGCUCACUGCAAGAUCAGGGGUCUGCAGUGGCAGAACCUACAUCCACACCAAGAGCACUAUGGAAAACUCAGGAUAAUAAAAAGGCAGCAAUUUAAUAUACAACAGAGAUUUGUAAUGGAAACAUGUUCCAUCCACACUGCUCAAAAAAAGAAACCCAAGGGAAAUGGAGAACUAAAGACUGAAACCCCAUCCUUCAACGUGCCUGCAGUCUCACGAUUUGUUGAAACCAAUUUUGGAGCAAGCUGCUGAUCAUGGUGUCCCUUUUGCUCCUCGCUUUGCAUUCUGGCUCCUUUUGGCUUGUAGGCAACACAGUGAGUCAGAACAGGAAACUGAUGCAGCUGAAAACCAAAGGCACUGAAAGAAAAGAUUGGGUUUGAUCCAGAUCAGCUCCUGAUCCAACUCACUGUUUAGUUGUAUCAGCACUGGCACACGAAUUGUUCAGGGCAGGAGAGGCAGUGGGACCACACCUUCUGGGAACAACCCACUCUUAAGUCAGCCUAAAUCAAGGUCAAAACACUGUCCAGUUCAUUGUGAACAGGGUUAGACAAAUUAAAAGACAUUUUAAGCAGUAUUGUCUCUCAACAAACUCCUUCUGUCAUUUUACAGAAAGAUUACUGGCUAAAGAUAAAGUAUUUAUUGAAAAGGAGCUGUAAUUUCCAGUAGGGUGAUCUUAAAUCUUGUAACAUUUCCUACCUGGGUUUUUUUGUGACUAUUUGUUCUACUGCCACAGAAGGCUUCCCUUAACUAUAACCAAGGGAUUUAUCCAAAUUAUGCUUCAAAAUUUGCUAUCAGAGUGUGUCAGGUAACCCAAUUUAACUGUUUGAGACACCCACUGUGACAGGACAGUUCACAAUUGUAUCCUAAAUAUUGCCAGGUGACAUAAAUGCUAGAGAAAAAAGUUUAGAAAAGAAAUAUGUGCAAAACCCCAAACUGCCUGAAUACAUUCCUUUUUUGCCACAUUUUUACAGGAACGUUAUUUAUGCCAAAAAACAUGGACCUACAACACAACCUUAAUCCAGCAGUGGCAUCAACCUUUGUAGACACAGAGUAAAAGAAUUCAUGGUUGAUACAAAGCAAAAGUCACAAAAAGUAGCUGUAAACCAAAGAGAUUUUAGGAUUUCUGUGAAGGCUGGAAUGUAAAUUUUAAUAGGUAACUGCUCACUUUGGCUGUUUUCUUUAGCUUCCUAGGGUAAAGGGAGUGAGCAGUGACUAAUACUCUGUGGAAGUCAAAUCAAUCCUGUAAAUUAUAGAUGCACUUCCAACAAAUACAUUAAAACUUAUCUGAUAAUCUUUGUUUCUUUUUUUCUGAUAAUCUAGGAGUCCUUUCAGUCCUGUGUCCUACUGUAGGAAUCCCAUCCUUUUCAUAAGAACAUGCUAAGUGUUUAAGUCAUAGGGAUGGUUCAGGCAUGUGAACAACAAUUAACAUCAGCAGAAGAUCAUUUUUUAUGUAGUUUCCUGCCAUCUUGCCUUACACUUUUGGGUGUAAGUUUGAUUCCAAGAUGUGUAAGAGAACAACCACCCCCAUUUUAAGCAGAUAUAGGAAAAAAGGAUCAUCAGCAAGAGUCGAGGUGUGCGACCAAAGCCAAAGCACUCUCAGGCUGGGUGAUGAGAGGCUGGAAGUGCUGUGGGCAGCGGGUGCAGUGGGACUUCACUGGAUUUCUCCCACUCUCUUGCCUGACACACACACCAGCAAACCAGAUUGUCUGACUGCUAAAGGUCACAACAGUAUUCUCUAGGAAGGUACUAAGAUUUCUUUAUCUGACUGGAAGGGUUUAAGAGAGGCUCCACAGAGGCCUGUGUUCUGCCUAACAUCAUGCAGUGUUUCCACUGAUGACUCAAUGAAGAAAUAAUGAAUAACCUGACCACAUUUUCAAAUUACUCAAAGUGACUCAAUGGUAAAAGAAGCUGCUCUUUUAUGGACAGCCCUAGAACAUAAAAUAAUUUUGAGAAUUGCUGCAGUGCUUUGAAAAACAGGAUGCACUUUGAUAUGGGUAAGUAGAGUGUGUUAUACAAUAAUCAAAUGCAAAAAUAAACUGGGAAAGGAUUGACUUCCAGCAGUCAUGCAAGGAAAAGACCUGGAGUGAAACUAAAUGUGAGACUACAAUGUCAGUUUCUUGGAAAUUUAAAAAAAAAUCACACUAUUUACAAACGUGUUAUAGGUAAGACAUGGAGCAUCUGUGCUACACAUUCCCUGGUUAGAUGCCAGCUGGGAUACUGCAUUCAGUUUUAGGGACUAAACUCAAGAAUGAACUAAAAGAGUCUAAAAAAAAAAGGAACAGCAAUGAUCUACGUACUCAGAAAACAUGACCUGUAAAGAAUUUCAAAACUUCCCAAUUUCUUCAUCUAUGAAA